rnacentral:rRNA from 1 species
UACGUAGGGUGCAAGCGUUGUCCGGAAUUAUUGGGCGUAAAGAGCUCGUAGGCGGUUUGUUGCGUCGGCUGUGAAAUCCCGAGGCUCAACCUCGGGUCUGCAGUCGAUACGAGCAAACUAGAGUGUUGCAGGGGAGACUGGAAUUCCAGGUGUAGCGGUGAAAUGCGUAGAUAUCUGGAGGAAUACCGGUGGCGAAGGCGGCAUCCUGGACCAUUACUGACGCUGAGGCGCGAAAGCGUGGGGAGCAAACAGG